GACGAACGCUGGCGGCGUGCUUAACACAUGCAAGUCGAACGGAAAGGCCCCAGCUUGCUGGGGUACUCGAGUGGCGAACGGGUGGGUAACACGUGGGUGAUCUGCCCUGCACUCUGGGAUAAGCCUGGGAAACUGGGUCUAAUACCGGAUAGGACCGUGCUUUAGUGUGUGCGGUGGAAAGUUUUUCGGUGCAGGAUGAGCCCGCGGCCUAUCAGCUUGUUGGUGGGGUAAUGGCCUACCAAGGCGGCGACGGGUAGCCGGCCUGAGAGGGUGUACGGCCACAUUGGGACUGAGACACGGCCCAGACUCCUACGGGAGGCAGCAGUGGGGAAUAUUGCACAAUGGGCGCAAGCCUGAUGCAGCGACGCCGCGUGGGGGAUGACGGCCUUCGGGUUGUAAACCCCUUUCGGCAGGGACGAAGCUUUUGCGACGGUACCUGCAUAAGAAGCACCGGCUAACUACGUG
rnacentral:rRNA from 1 species